rnacentral:tRNA from 1 species
GGUGCUAAAGGUCGCCAAAUCCUCACUCCGAAUGACGUGGGUUCAAAUCCCACUAGCACCA